rnacentral:rRNA from 1 species
CCUACGGGUGGCAGCAGUGAGGAAUAUUGGUCAAUGGGCGGAAGCCUGAACCAGCCAAGUAGCGUGCAGGAUGACGGCCCUACGGGUUGUAAACUGCUUUUAUACGGGAAUAACGCGCCUUACGUGUAGGGCUCUGCAUGUACCGUAUGAAUAAGGACCGGCUAAUUCCGUGCCAGCAGCCGCGGUAAUACGGAAGGUCCGGGCGUUAUCCGGAUUUAUUGGGGUUAAAGGGAGCGUAGGCGGCAUGUCAAGUGCGCUGUGAAAUGUCCGGGCUGAACCCGGGCCUUGCAGUGAAACCUGGCGGGCUUGAGGUCGCAGAAGGCAGGCGGAAUUCGUGGUGUAGCGGUGAAAUGCUUAGAUAUGACGAAGAACCCCGAUUGCGAAGGCAGCUUGCUGCGGUGGAACUGACGCUGAGGCUCGAAAGUGCGGGUAUCGAACAGGAUUAGAUACCCUGGUAGUC